AAUAUGUAUGAAAAAAAAAAAGAAAAGAAAAUUUAAAGUUAAAGAAAAAAAUUUUACCACGUCUUAUAACUGUUUGCACCAAACUGUACCCACAAACUGACGCAAAUGUGAAAAUAGCUGAUUCAUACACAAAUCUACCAACGCAACGGACGAAGAAAAUAUAUUCAUCAAAUGAUCUCGUACUAUUUAAGUUAAAAUAUAUAUAUGUUUUUUUUUUUAAUUUUAAGUUUUAUAAAUAAAAUAUUUAUACAAAAUCAUAUGAUAAGUUUCAAUAAAUUUUACAAACUUAAUUUUUUACAAAUGUAAAUACAUACUAAGCGAUCGAAACCGGUUUGCCUCUAAACCAAAUUUGACAAGGGAUGACUAAAAUUCGUUCCGACAUACAUUGCACACUAAGUACUUAUUCUUCUUUUAACCAUUCCAUUUUAAAUUUAAGUACAUUUAUUAGUUCUAAUGAUUUAAUUU